UCUGGUGUCCUAGGCGUAGAGGAACCACACCAAUCCAUCCCGAACUUGGUGGUUAAACUCUACUGCGGUGACGAUACGUGUAGGGGAGGGUCCGUGGAAAAAUAGCUCGACGCCAGGA
rnacentral:rRNA from 1 species